rnacentral:lncRNA from 1 species
UGACCAGAUUCUGGUUCGUGUCAUGUUUUUUUCUAGAUUCUGCAAACUCGUUAUCUCUUUAAAUCAAUUGUCUUUUAUUGAUUUUUGAUUUAAAGCAUCGAACUUUCCCUCAAGAUCUAUGGCGGAAUAGCAUCAACGUCAGACGCCGGAAGGCCACCGUCUGUGUUCUAUCAUCUGCGGCUUCCUCGGCUGCCCCACCACCAUGAAUAUUUGCUCCAACUGCCACGGCCAUCUCUGCCUCAAGAAACAAACUUGCGUGAAAUCCUCUAUCUCUGCAGUCCCCAUCCCCUCACAUCCGCUCAAUUGAUAUAACGACGGGUUGAAAUGCCAAUCCGGGAUGACUUGUUGCCCAUGCGCCCAUAGAUUCCCGGAGGUCCAUGGCUCAGCUUUCAUUUCAAAUCGCCGAUCGCGAAAAAAUUCGCUGGUCUCGAAUACUGAAAGUAAGAUUUCUCUCGAUAUUAGAAAAUAGAAGAAUGAUGUUCAAGGGAUGAAUACUAACCUUUUUAUAGGUGAGAAUCACCGAUUAGAUGAUAGAUAAGAUUCAUUGAAUUAGAGAUUGUGGUCGUAGUUGUGAGGAAGAGUUAAGUUUGGGUUAAUGAUACCCAAUCAAUGCGACUUGUAACGUUUCGGAGGUGAAGCAUCAAUUUAAAACGUCAUGAGUCCGACGGGAAGAUUGUUGAAAAAUCGUCAGGUCACACGCAAUCUCAGAACCACCAUUGUUGGUUGACAGAAGCCAAUAGUCGUAGAACUGAUGAACCCUAAAAUUGUGAGGUUGAAAGAAGAUAAUGUCGAUAUGGACCUAUAUAGAUUUGGGCCCAGAAAUAAGUCACUAUCAAUAUCGAAAACAGAAAAGCAAUCGAUUUUUAAUUGAGUAAACCGAGACACGUGUCAGCACAGGAAUUUUCGACUUUCUGACCUGGCGCUGAGGUGGCGUAACAGGAGAGAGGCAAACAU